ensembl:miRNA mdo-mir-12322 mdo-mir-12322
AGGGAUGAAGUCAUCUGGCAUCAGCGGCAUCCCGGAUGUCUGGUCAUUUCUCUUCCCCGC